GCCGGGGUGGCGGAAUGGUAGACGCAACGGACUUAAAAUCCGUUGCUCCGCAAGGGGCGUGCGGGUUCGACUCCCGCCCUCGGCA
rfam:Candidatus Chloracidobacterium thermophilum B chromosome 1, complete sequence.